rnacentral:rRNA from 1 species
AGUCGAACGGUGAACACGGAGCUUGCUCUGUGGGAUCAGUGGCGAACGGGUGAGUAACACGUGAGCAACCUGCCCCUGACUCUGGGAUAAGCGCUGGAAACGGCGUCUAAUACUGGAUACGAGUAGCGACCGCAUGGUCAGUUACUGGAAAGAUUUAUUGGUUGGGGAUGGGCUCGCGGCCUAUCAGCUUGUUGGUGAGGUAAUGGCUCACCAAGGCGUCGACGGGUAGCCGGCCUGAGAGGGUGACCGGCCACACUGGGACUGAGACACGGCCCAGACUCCUACGGGAGGCAGCAGUGGGGAAUAUUGCACAAUGGGCGCAAGCCUGAUGCAGCAACGCCGCGUGAGGGAUGACGGCCUUCGGGUUGUAAACCUCUUUUAGCAGGGAAGAAGCGAAAGUGACGGUACCUGCAGAAAAAGCGCCGGCUAACUACGUGCCAGCAGCCGCGGUAAUACGUAGGGCGCAAGCGUUAUCCGGAAUUAUUGGGCGUAAAGAGCUCGUAGGCGGUUUGUCGCGUCUGCUGUGAAAUCCGGAGGCUCAACCUCCGGCCUGCAGUGGGUACGGGCAGACUAGAGUGCGGUAGGGGAGAUUGGAAUUCCUGGUGUAGCGGUGGAAUGCGCAGAUAUCAGGAGGAACACCGAUGGCGAAGGCAGAUCUCUGGGCCGUAACUGACGCUGAGGAGCGAAAGGGUGGGGAGCAAACAGGCUUAGAUACCCUGGUAGUCCACCCCGUAAACGUUGGGAACUAGUUGUGGGGUCCAUUCCACGGAUUCCGUGACGCAGCUAACGCAUUAAGUUCCCCGCCUGGGGAGUACGGCCGCAAGGCUAAACUCAAA